GCGCCUCAGGGCUGUGCGGGCAGGGAGGGGCUGAGCCCGCGCCAACCCUUCCUUCCCUCCCGCCGCUCUCUCCAGCUGGCCGAGGACAGGAGUCAAGCGGCCGAGCACCUGCUCCAGGCCCUGCCCUACCUGCAGAGCCCACAGGAGCCCCUGCGAGAGGCGGCCAUCAGGUUCCUGGGGAUCGGCGGGCGGCACCUGAGGGGGCAGCAGCAAGAGCUCCAGCUGAUCUGCAGUGCCCUGGAACGCCUGACGGAGGACAUGAGCAGUAUUGUGUCAGAGCUGGCACUUGAAACCCUUCAUGUCCUCCGAGCAACAGCGAGUGGGCAAUAUUCCAUCUUCCAGAGGCUGCAAGAUCAGCUGCGCAGGGCAUGGAGGACUCGGCCUCGUCUGUCACGGCUCGGCUGGCUGCACUGCUGGAGCCCUGUACAGAGCUGAUCCGGGAGGCUCUCUUUUCUGGGGCAACCUGAGCCAGCAGGGAUUUUCUUUUUCUUUAUGAUUUUUCUUUUCCUCCCUUCCAUUUUUUAUCCAAUGUAAAUAUAGAAUGUGUUAUAGUA